ensembl:lncRNA
CAACAUUGUGGCUUUGCUUUCCAUCUAGGGAAUUGCAGUAUGUGCUAAAAAUACUGUUGAGCACAUGGGAAUACAGAGUGUUAUCGCAUACGGAGGGGAAGAAGGAAUGUCAGAUCCACAAGAAGCAACCAUAGAAGAGGGACAACUUAGCACUGAAUGUUCUGAGUGCCAUGGAAGCCAUGAGAACGUCUGCUAAAUCCUUUACAAGACUGAAGGUGGCACACAGCAGAGGGAAGACACUUGAGAGUGAGCCUGCUAUGACAAUUUCUACAUCAUUCAAACUUCAGCAACUGUUUGGCAUCUGUUUGACAUUUCUUCAGGAUCUAUAGCCACAAUCUGUUCUUUUGAGAGCAAGCAUGGACAUUCUUGAACUGAAACAGUUUUCCAACCAACACUGCAGGGGGGCUUAAAAAAGAAAAGUCACUUAUCCCUUACAUAAUUAAGGGAAACUCACAAUGAGAAAAUCCUAACAAAUACUUCACUUUCAUACAAAAACUCCAAGGAAAGAAGAGCAGAUGAUUGAGUAUAGUCCACACCAAGAAACAAUCUUUAAGAGGAAUGAAAUGUUAGAUUACUUUCAAGGAUACCCUAAGCCAAUAUUACUGUAAAAAUGGCUGUGUCUUGUGCUAGCAUUCCAAAUUUAACUGGAAGCAGAAUUGUGCCACAGUGAUGUAACCGUUGCUGUAAAUACUUUAUAUUGGAGAAAUGAGUUAUUCGUAGCUAAUAAAAACAUGCAAAGACAGCACACUUUCCAGGUCAGCAUUACAUUUCACCCCUAAUUUUUCCUUUUUUCACACGCCCUGCACAUUUUUUUCUUUCUGGAGUCUGGAAUCCUUGGGAGAGAUGGUAGUCAGGCUCUACAUCAGCCCAAUAGUCUAAACUUGUCCUUUUUUUGGAAAAUGAGACCAAAGAGUUUAAUGAUUUACAAGACAACACCUCUGCUUGAGGCCUUCCUUCAGCUUUUAUUAACAAAAGGUGCACAUCUUUGGUGAGAGGCACCGCAGAGGCAUAUUUAACAGAAAGCAUCAAACAGAUGCAGUCUGGGGACUUCAUGUAUUACUCAUUUAGAAAUAGUUGAAAAGUCUAACUCUUAAAAAAAACUUCAGCAUGUUAUGGCAAGCCAAACAAGAAAAAAACAAACAAACAAACAAAAAAAACCUGCAUUCUCUCAGGAAUCUGUCUAAGGAAGUUAUGGGUGUAACUUCAUCUCUCUUUGGCAUUGGUGAAAAUCCAUAGCAGGAAGUACUGCGGAAUGUCCCUGGGGAAACUUACAGAAACAAAAGCUAUAAAGUUAAAAGAAGUUAUAGAUAAGAGAACUGAUAUAAAUCCUUCGGAGAAAUGAAUCUCCUGUUAGGUUGAAAGUCUAGAAGACAGGUUUCCUCCUGGAAUUAACAGCUUAUUGCAGAAAAAGAAAUGAAACACUAUAGCAGUGAUGGGUUCCCCCAGAGUGAUUCUUGGGACUUCUCACUUGGAAAAGGAGCGAGAGGAAUUUUCUUUUCCCCAUGCUGAUAUUUUUUUUUAGUUAUGGCUGCAAUGGCAAUUAAGGAGACAGAAAGAACUUAUAAGCCACAUGGGGAUAUAAUCAGGGUUCUGUGACUGACCACUCUUUUUACAGUUUGUAUAAGAUGUGCAAGACUCCACAACACGCCCACCUCACCACUGAUGGAUCCCAGUGCUGCUCGCACCACGAUGCCAUGAAAGCCCAUACUUCCUGCUGGGGAGAUCCAGUCCCAGCAGACUUCAGACAACAUUCAAAGGAUUUGUGUGGUCUGGACUCUGAACCUAUUUUUCUAAGAGUUGGAGUUACCUGGUUGUCUACUAAGGAACAACAUUUUCAGAUUUUUGUCUGAGUAUUCAGUACAGAAUUCAUUGGAAUAAAAAAAAAAAGCAGAUAUGUGCUAAUAAAAAUUUUAAUGUCCAGUAUCUGAUGUAAGUAUUUCUGCAGCAUCAUUAAAGCCCCAGGGACUGACUGAUCCAGGUAGUAUUGACAAUAAUUGCCUAAUAGCACUACAACAGCUCCUCAG